rnacentral:lncRNA from 1 species
AACAGGGUUGGUAAAUUCACCGGGUGACUCGAAAGCAGGCUCUUAAAGACCACUCCUAGCGCGUCAGUCAUUUCGCUCCCAAAGAGCUCCCUAAAAACGUUGCCAAUAUCGACAGCAGCUCCUGUUCAAGCUCUUGUUUCGGUUCCCGCAAAAGAAAUUGUUGCAGUCUCAACUGGAUAAAUGAACAGCUUCGCAUCUAUUUCCUAUUGUAAUGACAAAGGUACCCCAUGCCAGCAAGAAAAGGCGAUCUUGUGCUAUACUCCGAUGAUCUCUUUCCUACCGAGACACGCUAACUCCCAUCGUGUCCCAGAUCACAUUCCGUGAAUCGAAAGGGGAAGCCUACUCAUCUAUCAUCUCCUCUCGUAGAUCGGUGCGGUUUUA